CACAAGCAAUAGCUUGCAGUGAUGAGUUCAGUUGUGGAGGUCUCUUGCAAUGUAGCUUGCUUUUAAAAUGACAUGUUGAGAUUGUGUGUUAUUGCUUUUGUGGCGUGAAGAAUAGGGAUAAGUGCCUAUGGUCUUCCCCGUGUUUUGCAGGGAGAGUCCCAUUGAGGGCGCCGUAAGUUUGCUGCUUCAUAUCGAUACUCCGCUUGUGAUGACGCAAUUAUAGUGGCGGUCAUUUGUAAAAUCCCUGAGAAGGCCUGUCGAACAGGCAUAGGCAUACUGUGCAAGAUGGGCUCUCACAGUGUCCAUUGUGCCUUUUACAGAUCUUACGGACAAGUCUGUCAAGACACUACCGAGAGAAUUCUUGCUAAGAACAAUCCUCGCAGGUAUGUGGGAUAGCCAAGGCUUGGAUCAGUGAUUGAGUUGUCGAGAGAUACGGCGAGCUUAGAAGACAAAGCCAAAGACGUCAGCCUUCCUUUGUUUAGACUUCCUGUAAGAAGGAUGUUGUAACAGUGCCUGCUGUUGGUAGUUUCUUGGAUGAGAGUGCAAAAUCCUAGAACAAGACGAUUUGAACUUACAAGGGUGUGCUGCAUUCGCUCCUUUACGGAGAUCCUGACGACAAUGAUAUAUUAACAGUGAGACAAUGGAGGUGCAAAGAGCUGGUAAUCUUCUGACCAAACAACGCCUGAAGUUGCAAAUGAAAGUGAAGUAUGUUACAACAGGCGGAAAGGCUAGUACAGAAUGUGUGGCUCAUUACUUCAAGGUGAUGGUUCAAAGCAAGAGCCUCUUUGCAUCAAAAUUUGUGGGGGCAUCAAUUAAUGCUGUUUUGACUUGAGUUUCAAUGUCAACAAAAGGUUGGUUCAAAUUGGUUUACAGCAACCCCUUUCACAGCUAUAAUUCAAUUUGGACAUAAAGAAUUUUGUGUUUGAAAAACUUGGGAUAAAAAUCAUAAUUUUAUCGUAGGAGAGUUAAAAUUUAAAAUAAUGAUGUAAUUUGAGGUGUUGGAAAAAUAAUGUAAUGAAAAAUG